GGGGGCCUCUCUUUCCGUAUGGGGCUUAAGGAGAUGCCGGGCAAACCGGAGGAAGGUGGGGAGACGUCAAGUCAUCAUGGCCCUUACGGCCUGGGUACACACGUGCUACAAUGGUCGGUACAAAGGGUUGCCAAGCCGCGAGGUGGAGCUAAUCCCAUAAAACCGAUCGUAGUCCGGAUCGCAGUCUGCAACUCGACUGCGUGAAGUCGGAAUCGCUAGUAAUCGUGAAUCAGGAUGUCACGGUGAAUACGUUCCCGGGCCUUGUACACACCGCCCGUCACACCAUGGGAUGAUUGCACCAGAAGUAGCUAUUCUAACCUUGUUAGGACGGUACCACGGUUGAUUCAUGACUGU
rnacentral:rRNA from 1 species